UACGUAGGGGGCAAGCGUUGUCCGGAAUCAUUGGGCGUAAAGCGCGUGUAGGCGGCUUGGUAAGUCUGCUCUGAAAGCCCGGGGCUCAACCCUGGGAGGCGGGUGGAUACUGCUGAGCUCGAGUCCGGAAGAGGCGAGUGGAAUUCCUGGUGUAGCGGUGAAAUGCGCAGAUAUCAGGAGGAACACCAAUGGCGAAGGCAGCUCGCUGGGACGGUACUGACGCUGAGACGCGAAAGCGUGGGGAGCGAACGGG
rnacentral:rRNA from 1 species